UACGGGAGGCAGCAGUGAGGAAUAUUGGUCAAUGGGCGAGAGCCUGAACCAGCCAAGUAGCGUGAAGGAUGACUGCCCUAUGGGUUGUAAACUUCUUUUAUAAAGGAAUAAAGUCGGGUAUGGAUACCCGUUUGCAUGUACUUUAUGAAUAAGGAUCGGCUAACUCCGUGCCAGCAGCCGCGGUAAUACGGAGGAUCCGAGCGUUAUCCGGAUUUAUUGGGUUUAAAGGGAGCGUAGAUGGAUGUUUAAGUCAGUUGUGAAAGUUUGCGGCUCAACCGUAAAAUUGCAGUUGAUACUGGAUAUCUUGAGUGCAGUUGAGGCAGGCGGAAUUCGUGGUGUAGCGGUGAAAUGCUUAGAUAUCACGAAGAACUCCGAUUGCGAAGGCAGCCUGCUAAGCUGCAACUGACAUUGAGGCUCGAAAGUGUGGGUAUCAAACAGGAUUAGAUACCCUGGUAGUCCACACGGUAAACGAUGAAUACUCGCUGUUUGCGAUAUACUGCAAGCGGCCAAGCGAAAGCGUUAAGUAUUCCACCUGGGGAGUACGCCGGCAACGGUGAAACUCAAAGGAAUUGACGGGG
rnacentral:rRNA from 1 species